GAGAGUGGGUUAGUCCGCACGAGCGCACCUUACUUUUAGUUGCCAUCAUUUAGUUGGGCACUCUGAAAGAACUGCCAGUGAUAAGCUGGAGGAAGGUGGGGAUGACGUCAAGUCCUCAUGGCCCUUAUGUGUUGGGCUACACACGUGCUACAAUGGUAUCUACAAUAGGAAGCAAGAUGGCGACGUCAAGCAAAUCCUAAAAAAAUGCCUCAGUUCGGAUUGUACUCUGCAACUCGAGUACAUGAAGCUGGAAUUACUAGUAAUCGUGGAUCAGCGUGCCACGGUGAAUACGUUCCCGGGUCUUGUACACACCGCCCGUCACACCAUGGGAGUUGGUUCUACCUUAAGGCAAGGUUUAAUACCCUUGACCACGGUAUAGUCAGCGACUGGGGUGUAGUCGUAACAAGGUAGCCGUAGGGGAACCUGCGGCUGGAUUACCUCCUUUCU
rnacentral:rRNA from 1 species